GAAGGUAUAGCUCAGUGGUAGAGAGUGCAUUUUGCAUGUACAAGGUCCUGAGUUCAAUCCCCAGUAUCUCUG
rnacentral:tRNA from 1 species